rnacentral:misc_RNA from 1 species
CGCUGCUCUUUUAAUUCGUGUUUGUGCUUUUACAUUACGCUGCACGAGGAGGCCUCGCCUGGAUGCUCGUAUUUGCUAUUUCUUCUCUCUUCUUCUUAAAUCUUCUCUGUAAACGGCCACUUCCUGUACCUCUCCAUUCGAAUCUAGGGUUUUGUUUUGCUUCUUCAUUGAUUUAAAUUAAUCUUCUCAAUUUCACCAAUCGUUACACUCUCGGAUCCGAUCCGUCCACUAUUCANNNCAAUUUUUACUUUCAUUUCAGAAAAAAAAAAUCUCACUAUUUUUUCUGUUUUCAGAAAGCUUCAGAUGGGGCGAGAAUUUUAAUUUCGCUGGAGUUUCUUUUUUUUUUUUUGAUAAACAAUUCUAAGUUCGUUCGGUAGUGAAUUGAUUUUGGAGAGUUUUUUAGGUGAGUGUUAGGAUUAAGGUUAGUCAUGUUCUAUGGUGCAGUGGUAUGGGAUCCAUGG